GGAAUAUUGGACAAUGGGCGAAAGCCUGAUCCAGCAAUGCCGCGUGAGUGAUGAAGGCCUUAGGGUUGUAAAGCUCUUUUACCAGGGAUGAUAAUGACAGUACCUGGAGAAUAAGCUCCGGCUAACUCCGUGCCAGCAGCCGCGGUAAUACGGAGGGAGCUAGCGUUGUUCGGAAUUACUGGGCGUAAAGAGUACGUAGGCGGUUAUUCAAGUCAGAGGUGAAAGCCUGGAGCUCAACUCCAGAACUGCCUUUGAAACUAGAUAGCUAGAAUCUUGGAGAGGUGAGUGGAAUUCCGAGUGUAGAGGUGAAAUUCGUAGAUAUUCGGAAGAACACCAGUGGCGAAGGCGACUCACUGGACAAGUAUUGACGCUGAGGUACGAAAGCGUGGGGAGCAAACAGGAUUAGAUACCCUGGUAGUCCACGCCGUAAACGA
rnacentral:rRNA from 1 species